AGUAGUUUGAUCAGUGGCUACGAGGACACGCUGGCGGUGUGCUUCACACAUGCAAGUCGAACGAGGUAGCAAUACCUAGUGGCGGACGGGUGAGUAACGCGUGGGAAUCUGCCUUUAGAUGGGGGAUAACGGGUCGAAAGACUCGCUAAUACCGCAUAUGACGAAAGUUGAAAGGAGUAAUCCGUCUAAAGAUGAGCCCGCGUCCGAUUAGCUAGUUGGUAGAGUAAAAGCCUACCAAGGCGACGAUCGGUAGCUGGUCUGAGAGGAUGAUCAGCCACAAUGGGACUGAGACACGGCCCAUACUCCUACGGGAGGCAGCAGUGGGAAUUUUACGCAAUGGGCGAAAGCCUGACGUAGCGACACCGCGUGAGCGAAGAAGCCCCUUGGGGUGUAAAGCUCUGUCAGCUGGAACGAAAAAAUGACGGUACCAGCAGAGGAAGCAUCGGCUAACUACGUG
rnacentral:rRNA from 1 species